AUUUUAUGUACAAGGAUUCCCUCUCGUGUUCCUGCUUGCAAAAUUGGGAAACCUUCUUUUGAAGUAGCAAAAUAGCAGAGCAGUUGAUAGCAGGCUCAGAAUCUAAGUGGAAGAAUUCUUCCUUGCAUUGUAGGCACGAAAAGCUGCCACUCCGACAACAGUGAAAGCAGCCCCAACUGACAGAAACAGAAGAGAGUGACUGACAAGUUGGCGAAAGUACUUGCGUUUCCUACCAGCCUCAGU
rnacentral:misc_RNA from 1 species